UAAAAAAAUAUUUUCCCUUUUAGUUAUGUUAACUUGUAAUAUUUAGCCAAGUAGACUUAAAUUUAACUCUGUUGUUCAGAUAACUUAUAUAUUUGGGUUUUAGUGGUGAAAACCAAUGACACAAUUGGUACAACUUAUUUUUUCUUGUCAUAUCCACAGUUAUCAUAGUUCACCUCCGUUUCACGCUGCGUCACGUAAAUGGCGCAUGCGCAGACACCUAACCGCACCUCGAAGUAAUUUUUCGUGAGGGUAAACCAGAGCCCAUGGUGGUGACUUUAACCGUCACUUUUCUGUUAUGCAUCUGACUGCAAGCUGUACAAACUCUGCCGUCAUCAUAUCCAAGGUAAGAACUACAGUACUUUUGUAUGCCAAUUGAAAACUGGAGUUAAUUAGGAAAAUACUGUUUUUAUAUUGUAGCAUUAAUGUUAACCUAAACCGUUUGUUAACCGUCAUGUUAGAAUUAGCUGACGUUUGCUAGCUAGCGAGCUAACAUCGCUAACGUUAGCUGUUAAUGUUAACUUUUCCAAUAACUAGCUUUACCAUUGUGUGGAAUAUCUGGAAUGGUAGUAAUAUCAUAUCCAACAAUAAGUCUGUCUGAGAUUUCGUUAUGGAUGUAAAGUUUUAGUUUGAAUGAAAUGGCCAAGGCUAUCAGGCACGAGUACGUUAGCUAACCUAGCUAUAACUUAGCCUGCAUGGUCAUUAGCAGCCACUAACGUAGGCUAACGUGAACAGGUUGUUGAUCUACCUCAAUAUGAUACCGACAAGUCAAGGGAUCUUUAGUUUGUGAAGGGUAACCUAUAGUGCUAUAUUAAGCCAUCCUUACACCAGAAGACUUGACCAGAUUUGGGUAAGAUUAUUGAAAGAUUGUAGUCUUUUGAGUAAAGCUUGAAUGCAUUAGUUAAAAAACGCCAAUCUUUCCCAAAUCUUGUCAAAGUAUUCUGAUGUAUGGGUAGCAUUAGGCAAAAUGUUCUUCAUUUCAUAGCCCUUAUUUGGUUGUACCUGACUUGUGCCAAGGCAUGUGUUCAUUUAAGAUGCAUGUGAGGGCAGUAGUGCUUCAAUGAUGGUCUUUUCAUGUUAUGUGUAUUUUAUUAAUCUUAAUUUCCCUCUGUUCCCUGUUUGCAGGCAGUAAGUUGUGAGGACUGCUUCCCUGAGAACACUGAGUGCAUUCUGGAAUAUUCCAAAUGUGUCCCACUUCCAUACAAAAGAAGUUCGAAUCCCGCAAGAGAGUUCACUCACCAGUGGGCUUCAUCAACAGACCAGGGCAAAGUCGGUCUGUCCCGCUACUACAACAUGCUACUUGACUAUGUCUGGAAGCCAUGGCUGCUGCCCUCAACAUGCUAAACUGAAACCCUCACAAAUAAAGUCACAAAUCAAGAAUUAACAUUGAUGGUGAUAGUGGCAAGGGUGCCUUCAUAAGGUGCCAUCCAGCAAGUCCCAGCCUGGAGCCAGAGGCUGGCACUGCACGUCAGAUGGGGGAGGAUCUAUGUUAGGCAUCAGAAAGGUGGUUUAAGCAAGAAGGCAAGAACUUCUGCAGACAGUGUUGCAAUUAGACACCUGACUUUUACUGAGUCCCUUUUCUGGUUUGUUUUGGAUGAACUAGAGUGGUGGGCACAGAAAUUUUGUCGAUGGGUCAAACAUUCACACACUCACUCACACAACCACACUUGUGGAUUUGUCAAGCAACAAAUCUUUGUAUAUAAUCUGUUGCUCAUUGAAUAUGCUUAAUAAAUGUUGUCUUCUUGACUUGUA